UACGAAGGGGGCUAGCGUUGCUCGGAAUUACUGGGCGUAAAGCGCACGUAGGCGGAUUUGUAAGUCAGGGGUGAAAUCCCGGGGCUCAACCUCGGAACUGCCUUUGAUACUGCAAAUCUCGAGUCCGGAAGAGGUGAGUGGAACUGCGAGUGUAGAGGUGAAAUUCGUAGAUAUUCGCAAGAACACCAGUGGCGAAGGCGGCUCACUGGUCCGGUACUGACGCUGAGGUGCGAAAGCGUGGGGAGCAAACAGG
rnacentral:rRNA from 1 species